GAUGAACGCUGGCGGCGUGCUUAACACAUGCAAGUCGAACGAUGAAGCCCAGCUUGCUGGGUGGAUUAGUGGCGAACGGGUGAGUAACACGUGAGUAACCUGCCCUUAACUCUGGGAUAGGCCUGGGAAACUGGGUCUAAUACCGGAUAGGAGCGUCCACCGCAUGGUGGGUGUUGGAAAGAUUUAUCGGUUUUGGAUGGACUCGCGGCCUAUCAGCUUGUUGGUGAGGUAAUGGCUCACCAAGGCGACGACGGGUAGCCGGCCUGAGAGGGUGACCGGCCACACUGGGACUGAGACACGGCCCAGACUCCUACGGGAAGCAGCAGUGGGGAAUAUUGCACAAUGGGCGCAAGCCUGAUGCAGCGACGCCGCGUGAGGGAUGACGGCCUUCGGGUUGUAAACCUCUUUCAGUAGGGAAGAAGCGAAAGUGACGGUACCUGCAGAAGAAGCACCGGCUAACUACGUG
rnacentral:rRNA from 1 species